rnacentral:rRNA from 1 species
AGCGAUGUGGUUAAUUCGAUGAUACGCGAGGAACCUUACCUGGGCUCGAACGUAAGAUGACUGUAGGUGAAAGCUUACAUCUCUUCGGAGCAUUUUACGAGGUGCUGCAUGGUUGUCGUCAGCUCGUGUCGUGAGAUGUGGGUUAAGUCCCGCAACGAGCGCAGCCCUCGACUUUAGUUACCAUCAUUAAGUUGGGUACUUUAAAGUAACCGCCGGUGAUAAGCCGGAGGAAGUGGGGAUGACGUCAAGUCCUCAUGGCCCUUACGCGCUGGGCUACACACGUGCUACAAUGGCAAGUACAGUGGGCAGCAAUCCCGCGAGGGUGAGCUAAUCUCCAAAACUUGUCUCAGUUCGGAUUGUUCUCUGCAACUCGAGAGCAUGAAGGCGGAAUCGCUAGUAAUCGCGGAUCAGCAUGCCGCGGUGAAUACGUUCCCAGGCCUU